rnacentral:lncRNA from 1 species
UGUCACGCCCCGAACUCCGCCAAUUUAGUCGGAUUCGGGCACGUCGACAGACCACCGAACGGACAGAGCCUUCCCUGUACGUCCUAGGCGUCACAAUCCAUAUGAUGCAGUAGAAGAGGUUCCAACCAGGAACAUCAUUCGAACAUAAAUUGCAUAAGUAUCAAAAACAUAAAAGGCUAACUAUGCUAUUACAAGCAUUCAUCUCAAGAUUUUACAUUUAUAAUAUUACAUAAGCCUUUAAAUUUUUACAACUUAUACAAAUUUGAUACAAGUUUGCUUCAUUCAUACUUAUGCUCUGACUUAGACUGCUGCAGGGUACUGCUAUCUUUGGUCUCGGUGGUAGGGCGCUAUCUACGGAGCUACGCCCUGUCCUCGCGCCGCCGCGCCGCUCACGUGCGAACCUGUAGCCCCAAAAACAACACGAGGGUGAGAACUAUAUAAAUAUAGUUUCUAGUGGGUACGGCCACCCAAGAGAAGAGCUCAACCCACCAGGUCCAAAGGAGGCAACUGCAGGUUAGUUUAAUAAACAAAUAGAUAGAUAUUUGAUUAUGCAACUAAUAAAACCAUACCUUACCUCGCAACUAUAACGAUGCUAUGUAAUAUGCAAUACCUGUAAAUCAUGCAAGUAGAUUACUUGAUUCUACUUUAUAUCAUUAACCAUUCUCUACUUGUAGUCGUUCUUUUCUUUAUUAGCUAUUUUCGUUCAUUAGCUAUUUUCUUUAUUCUUUACUCUUUGUCAUACUGUGCUCACUGGCGAUUCUUUCCUAAGGUUAUUUUACCUUAGCCAUCUAUACCACUCGACUCGGUCUUGAGUCAAUCAUCCGCGAAGUACCGCAUCAAGUCAGGCUCGAGGUGAAGGACGUCUCACAAGCACCUCAGCCUUAAGUCCACGCGACACUAGGUCCAUCACAGGGAGAGGAGAACCGUCGAUCCCCGUGACCCUAAGUCGCUCAAGCUUAACGGGCGAGGAGAACCGUCAAACCCGUUGAGCUCAUACCGGGAGAGGAGAACCGUCGAUCCCGUAGUUUUGAUUCACUUGUUUCCUGCCAUACCGAGAGAGGAGAACCACCGAUCCCGUUGAAUCACUACCGGGAGAGGAGAACCGUCGAUCCCGUAGUUCUGAUUCUAUUUAUGCCAACAGCACUGGAUUCCUCAACCCACUUUCACAACUUAAGGGUUUAGUCACUUACCCUAUGCUGACGACCUUCCAAGGUCUAUAUCAUUCAAUUUCUAGUGGUCCUACCACCACUAUAAUUCAUAACUUAGUUCAAUUUUACUAAGUGUCACUAUACCUUAUAACCUAGGUUCGUUUACACUAGAUUUUAUAUUCUUUCACCUAGAUCUCGACUCUAGAUUUACUAAUUCAACCUAUGUUCAAUGACAUUAGGUUCAUUCCAUGUCCAACCUAUGUUUAAUAACACUAGGUUCAUGCCACUCGAUCUAUUUAUUAUCCUAGUUAUCCACGUCUAGGAUUAUAGUUUACACGUUUCAUGUUCAAUUUACAUGACUUUAGUCUAUGUAUCAACAUUCAUAUAUCAUUUAUAAUUCAUAUGUUCAUAUACCAACAUUCCUAUGCAUUUAGCAUGAACUACAAUACAUUCGUAUGCGUCUAGUAUGUUCGUCAUAUGACAAUCAUCAUAUAUCAUCUAGCAUGAGAUUCACAUUCAUAGGUAUUUAUUCAUAUGUCUCUAGCAUUCACUUUCAUAUAUGUUUAGUCUUAUGCAACUAGCAUUCAUAUUCAUAUGUCGAUUAUCAUAAUAUGUCAACAAUCAUAUAUGCUCUAACAUCUAUAUAUUAUCCUAGUUGUCCAUAUCUAGGAUUAUUGCUUACACAAUCUCAUUUGUAACUGUCGGAUUCUCUAAUCAAUUUAGAGUUAUCGACCCAUAUUCUGCUUGUAUGAUUCUAACAGGCUCACAUUAUGUUCAUAUUCAUGCAUCAUCGGGUAUUAUCCACAAGAUAUUGACAUGCAUAUUCUAACAGUAGAUAACAAUGAUUGAUACAAUACGAUUUAAGCUUUCAUAUUAUUACUCACAAUCUACCAUUAUACAUGUAUGCGUCAAAAUAAUUAUACUUUACUUUGGCAUGGAAGUGACCUAAUCACUUCAGUAAAGCACAACCCACCUUUACUUGACACCAGAAUGUGAGAAAUCCACAUUCCACACUUUCCCGAGAAUUGCGAUUCCGCGCUCGCGACAAUUGUAGCCGAAAAUGUCCUUUCGGCGAUAUCUUCGCGUAGGCUCGACGGAUUGCCGAACCGACUUCGCCAACGAGUUUGUUUUAUCCUCAAUUAGGUUUG